rnacentral:rRNA from 1 species
UUGGAGGAGUUUGAUCCUGGCUCAGGACGAACGCUGGCGGCGUGCCUAAUACAUGCAAGUCGAGCGGAACCAUUGGAGCUUGCUCCUUUGGUUUAGCGGCGGACGGGUGAGUAACACGUGGGCAACCUGCCCUGCAGAUCGGGAUAACUCCGGGAAACCGGUGCUAAUACCGAAUAGUUUGCGGCCUCUCAUGAGGCUGUACGGAAAGACGGUUUCGGCUGUCACUGCAGGAUGGGCCCGCGGCGCAUUAGCUAGUUGGUGGGGUAACGGCCCACCAAGGCGACGAUGCGUAGCCGACCUGAGAGGGUGAUCGGCCACACUGGGACUGAGACACGGCCCAGACUCCUACGGGAGGCAGCAGUAGGGAAUCUUCCGCAAUGGACGAAAGUCUGACGGAGCAACGCCGCGUGAGUGAAGAAGGUUUUCGGAUCGUAAAACUCUGUUGUGAGGGAAGAACAAGUACCAA